CCUCCCAGCAGGGGGCGCACCCUUCGGGGUGUGACUGCGUACCUUUUGUAUAAUGGGUCAGCGACUUAUAUUCUGUAGCAAGGUUAACCGAAUAGGGGAGCCGGAGGGAAACCGAGUCUUAACCGGGCGUUAAGUUGCAGGGUAUAGACCCGAAACCCGGUGAUCUAGCCAUGGGCAGGUUGAAGGUUGGGUAACACUAACUGGAGGACCGAACCGACUAAUGUUGAAAAAUUAGCGGAUGACCUGUGGCUGGGGGUGAAAGGCCAAUCAAACCGGGAGAUAGCUGGUUCUCCCCGAAAGCUAUUUAGGUAGCGCCUCGUGAAUUCAUCUCCGGGGGUAGAGCACUGUUUCGGCUAGGGGGCCAUCCCGGCUUACCAACCCGAUGCAAACUGCGAAUACCGGAGAAUGUUAUCACGGGAGACACACGGCGGGUGCUAACGUCCGUCGUGAAGAGGGAAACAACCCAGACCGCCAGCUAAGGUCCCAAAGUCAUGGUUAAGUGGGAAACGAUGUGGGAAGGCCCAGACAGCCAGGAUGUUGGCUUAGAAGCAGCCAUCAUUUAAAGAAAGCGUAAUAGCUCACUGGUCGAGUCGGCCUGCGCGGAAGAUGUAACGGGGCUAAACCAUGCACCGAAGCUGCGGCAGCGACACUGUGUGUUGUUGGGUAGGGGAGCGUUCUGUAAGCCUGUGAAGGUGGCCUGUGAGGGUUGCUGGAGGUAUCAGAAGUGCGAAUGCUGACAUAAGUAACGAUAAAGCGGGUGAAAA
rnacentral:rRNA from 1 species